AGGAGGAAGAAGAAGAAGAGGAGGAGGCAUCAAAACAACGUGCUCUACCUGCCUAGUCAUCACCACCUCCACCUCAACACCACCACACCACCUCCACACACCACCACCUCCACCAUGUCCACGGAUAAGCAGGGAGACACCAAGCCCAAAAUCGACCUCGGCCUUUUGGAGGAGGACGAUGAGUUUGAGGAAUUUCCAGCAGAGGACUGGGGUGCGGCAGAGGAGGAUGCUGAGGACAUCAACGUGUGGGAGGACAACUGGGAUGAUGAUAAUAUUGAGGACGACUUCUCGGAGCAGCUAAGGGCUGAGCUCAACCUCCAGCCAAUGCAGUAGUGGAAUGGAAAGAACCAUGCUUGAAAACAACAGCAGAGGUGUUUUUUUUCAUAAUGCCAAUUUUUGUUCUCUUUAAUUACAACCUGUCAUGUUAUUUCCUGCCCAGCCCUCUUCAGUGGAUUAAAUAUUUUGUAAUGAAAUACUAA